UACAGAGACUGCAAGCGUUAUUCGGAUUCACUGGGCGUAAAGGGUGCGUAGGCGGUCGCGUAAGUCAGGUGUGAAAUCUCAGGCUCAACCCUGAAACUGCACUUGAUACUGCGUGGCUCGGGUACUGGAGAGGAGACUGGAAUUUACGGUGUAGCAGUGAAAUGCGUAGAUAUCGUGAGGAAGACCAGUGGCGAAGGCGAUUCUCUGGGCAGUUCCUGACACUGAGGCACGAAGGCUAGGGGAGCAAACGGG
rnacentral:rRNA from 1 species